UCAAGCGACUAAGUGCACAUGGUGGAUGCCUUGGCGAUUACAGGCGAUGAAGGACGUAGUAGCUUGCGAUAAGCUGCGGGGAGCUAGCAAACAAGCUUUGAUCCGCAGAUUUCCGAAUGGGGAAACCCGGCCCUUUGGGUCAUCACUCACUGAAUACAUAGGUGUGUGAAGCGAACGCGGCGAACUGAAACAUCUAAGUAGCUGCAGGAAAAGAAAUCAACCGAGAUUCCCAAAGUAGUGGCGAGCGAAAUGGGACCAGCCUGCAAGAUUUAGCAUCGAUGAUAGUGGAACGGAAUGGAAAGUCCGGCCAUAGCGGGUGAUAGCCCCGUACACGAAAUUCGAACGGUGGUACUAAGCGUACGACAAGUAGGGCGGGACACGAGAAAUCCUGUCUGAAGAUGGGGGGACCAUCCUCCAAGGCUAAAUACUCGUAAUCGACCGAUAGUGAACAAGUACCGUGAGGGAAAGGCGAAAAGAACCCCGGGAGGGGAGUGAAAUAGAUCCUGAAACCGUGUGCAUACAAACAGUAGGAGCCUCGCAAGGGGUGACUGCGUACCUUUUGUAUAAUGGGUCAGCGACUUACAUUCAGUGGCAAGGUUAACCGAAUAGGGAAGCCGUAGAGAAAUCGAGUCCGAAUAGGGCGUUCAGUCGCUGGGUGUAGACCCGAAACCAGAUGAUCUAUCCAUGGCCAGGUUGAAGGUGCGGUAACACGCACUGGAGGACCGAACCCACUAAUGUUGAAAAAUUAGGGGAUGAGCUGUGGGUAGGGGUGAAAGGCUAAACAAACCUGGAAAUAGCUGGUUCUCUCCGAAAACUAUUUAGGUAGUGCCUCAAGUAUUACCAUCGGGGGUAGAGCACUGUUAUGGCUAGGGGGUCAUGGCGACUUACCAAACCAUUGCAAACUCCGAAUACCGAUGAGUACAGCUUGGGAGACAGUGCACCGGGUGCUAACGUCCGGUGUCAAGAGGGAAACAACCCAGACCGCCAGCUAAGGUCCCCAAGAUUGGCUAAGUGGGAAACGAAGUGGGAAGGCUAAAACAGUCAGGAUGUUGGCUUAGAAGCAGCCAUCAUUUAAAGAAAGCGUAAUAGCUCACUGAUCGAGUCGUCCUGCGCGGAAGAUGUAACGGGGCUAAGCCAGUCACCGAAGCUGCGGAUGUGCAAUUUAUUGCACGUGGUAGGGGAGCGUUCUGUAAGCCUGCGAAGGUGUCUCGAGAGGGAUGCUGGAGGUAUCAGAAGUGCGAAUGCUGACAUGAGUAGCGAUAAAGGGUGUGAAAAGCACCCUCGCCGAAAGCCCAAGGUUUCCUACGCAACGUUCAUCGGCGUAGGGUGAGUCGGCCCCUAAGGCGAGGCUGAAAAGCGUAGUCGAUGGGAAACAGGUGAAUAUUCCUGUACCGCUCUUUACUGCGAUGUGGGGACGGAGAAGGUUAGCUCAGCCAACUGUUGGAUAUGUUGGUUCAAGCCUGUAGUCGUGCUCUCUAGGCAAAUCCGGAGAGAUGAGAUGAGGGGUGAUAACGAGGCAGCUUGCUGCCGAAGUGAGUGAUACCCUGCUUCCAGGAAAAGCCACUAAGCUUCAGCUAUUGACGACCGUACCGCAAACCGACACUGGUGCGCGAGAUGAGUAUUCUAAGGCGCUUGAGAGAACUCUGGAGAAGGAACUCGGCAAAUUGACACCGUAACUUCGGAAGAAGGUGUGCCUUUAGUAGGUGAAGUCCCCCGCGGAUGGAGCCCAAUGAGGUUGCAAAGAAUCGGUGGCUGCGACUGUUUAAUAAAAACACAGCACUCUGCAAACACGAAAGUGGACGUAUAGGGUGUGACGCCUGCCCGGUGCUGGAAGAUUAAAUGAUGGGGUGCAAGCUCUUGAUUGAAGUCCCAGUAAACGGCGGCCGUAACUAUAACGGUCCUAAGGUAGCGAAAUUCCUUGUCGGGUAAGUUCCGACCUGCACGAAUGGCGUAACGAUGGCCACACUGUCUCCUCCUGAGACUCAGCGAAGUUGAAAUGUUUGUGAUGAUGCAAUCUCCCCGCGGAAAGACGGAAAGACCCCAUGAACCUUUACUGUAGCUUUACAUUGGACUUUGACGGGACUUGUGUAGGAUAGGUGGGAGGCUUUGAAGUGCGGACGCCAGUUCGCAUGGAGCCAUCCUUGAAAUACCACCCUUAUCGUCAUGGAUGUCUAACCGCGGUCCGUUAUCCGGAUCCGGGACAGUGUAUGGUGGGUAGUUUGACUGGGGCGGUCGCCUCCCAAAGUGUAACGGAGGCGCGCGAUGGUGGGCUCAGACCGGUCGGAAAUCGGUCGUCGAGUGCAAUGGCAUAAGCCCGCCUGACUGCGAGACUGACAAGUCGAGCAGAGACGAAAGUCGGCCAUAGU
rnacentral:rRNA from 1 species